GGAGGAAUGCCCGAGUGGUUAAAGGGGACGGACUGUAAAUCCGUUGGCUCAGCCUACGUUGGUUCAAAUCCAACUUCCUCCA
rnacentral:tRNA from 1 species